CAUAUGGAGGUUACCAGAGUAGGGGUCGAAUCGGAGCUGUAGCCACUGACUACACUACAGCCACAGUAAUGCGGGACCCAAGCUGCAUCUGGGACCUACAUCACAGCUCCUGGCAAUGCUGGAUCCUUAAAUUCACUGGGCGAGGCCGGGGAUUGAACCUGUGUUCAUGGAUACUAGUCAGAUUCGUUUCUGCUGAGCCAUGACAGGAACUCCAAUUUUUUGCUUUUUUACCAAAAUUCUAGGUGAGGGUUUCUAACUGUUACUAUUUUGUUUUUAUAAUACUAUAAUAAAGAUUCUCCCAUGAAUAAAUUUCCAAACAAAAAACUUGCUAAGCCAUUUAGUUUGGAAAUGUUCCUUUGCACUAAGACACUAACCCUCACCAAACAUGUAUUUCCAAUAUUUUCUCCCAUUUGCCUGUCUCUGAACUAUAGCUCAAAUUGGCGCUACGAGGUAUUUUUGCUAUAGGCGUGUUCUGAGUAUUCAAGCAAAUAAUCUUCCUAUGGCUUAUAGCCCUAGUGUCACAUCAAGAAGCCCUUUCUGCAAACAACCCACCCAAAGGUUAUAAAAUAUUUCUUGUAAUAAUUUUCUAGUGCUUCUGCGUUUGAUUUUUACAGUUAAAUCUUUAAUCCACCCAGAAUCUCUAUGCGCUGUGGAACGUACAAUUUUCUACUUUAUUUUUCCCAAAAGACACACACUCAGUAACACCACCAGAUCCUUAGACUGCUGAGCCACCAGGGAACUCCCUUCGUAUAAACAUGUUUUUCCCUUUUUAAAAAAAGGGAAAGUUUUAGGUUUACCAUUCAUUUUUUAAAAUGGAAUGGGUCAAUUUGCCCAAGAACUCAAAAAAGUUAUUUCUAAAGUUAGUUUCUAUGAAGCAGUAGGUUAUUUACCAAAAAAGAAAGCCUGUUGCCAGACCCGAGGCUCUCAGGAUGAACCACUUUCCUUCGCCUUUUCUGACCAUUCAUUAUUUAACUCUCGUGCCUCAAAGCAGUGACUUCAAUAAUACCACUAAAGACAGAAUUUCACUGUAAAGCACCCUAAAGUCUACUUCAGCUAACCGUUCAGGACAAAGAGCUUAACUGCAGGAUGGAUUGUAUGUCCCUGGCCUCUCUCCCUCGGGGCACCUCUGAGAGGAUGAGGCCGCAGGAGAGGCAGGAGCAGCCACACAGGUGCACCUGGAGCUGGAGCCUUCCCACGCCCCUGCUCGCUCCCCCGGGAAUCACAGCAUCUCAGUCACAGGAAUAAUAAGUGAGAAAGACAAAGGGAUGGCAGUGAAAGGAACCUGUUUGUCUAACUGCAGCUACUCAUCAAGUGCCUGGCUCCUCCUUCCUGCCUCUUCCUGCAGGGGACCCGGGUCCCUCUGGCACUCUCCCCAAGGACAUGUCAAUUCUGCAACAGGCCAGGAUGUACACAGCUUCAGGGCUUACAUUCAGUUUAAAAGGGAAUGUGUACCUGAGCCUGCACCGACUUGUAAUGCUAUGUCAUUAUGUCUUAGAUUAAAAUCUUUUUUGUUUGAAAUGUAAUUCCUCCCCCUCCCAAUCAAAUCAGCUAAUCUCACCUUGUCUCUUUCACAUCUUGAAAUUCUGAGCUUAGCAGGCACUUUACGCAAACUGUCAAGCAUGGAAGGGUAGCUCAAACGACAGGAGGGAUCGUUGGCUGACAGCUAACUCCUUCAACCCAUUUUUCAAAUAGAAAACACAUUAAAUUUGACGUUAAUUCAAACGCUAUUUAACCUCACGAGGCUUACUGCAGAUUGGUCACAGGUGCCACGCCCCAGCCUCUCAACUGGAGGAAGAAGCACACUGACCAGGACAUGCUGUGAAAUCCUGAGCCCAGCCAAGGCGAAGGCCCCUCCAAAGAGCUGGCACCAGCUGUGAGACAGGCCUGGGGGUACAGAGUCAGACAGGAGCCUGCCUACCAGCCUUUCUUAAGGGGUUUAGCCUUCUGUUCCUGCCUCAAUUUCCCCUACCAGCUCCCACCAUUUCUAUCAACAUCAAUUGUGCUCGCUUCUCUGUGUGGGGUCCAGGGACCAGCAACACCAGAGGCGCCUGGGAGCUUGUUAGGAAAGCUCACUCAGCCCCACUGACUGAAUUAGGAGCUGUAGCUAACAAGAUCCCAGGGGACCCAUCACAGAGUCAAGUUCUGAGAUGCACCCAAAAUAACACAUGGCUUAGGCUCUACCUAUUUAAAAACAGAACUCUCUGCUGUUCCCAUGUCACCCACCAACUACGAAGCCCCUUCCCUGCCUCGCCCUGCAGAGCACACCUUCUCGAAGCCACAUCCCCCCAGUCUCCCCUCCUCAGCUCCCAGCUUCCAACUCACUGCAAUCUGGCCUUCCCUGCCAACCACCUAGUCCCGAGUUCCCACAUCCAAAGGACCCCUUUCAUCUAACCUCCAAAGCACUCUGCACGGCAAUACCCCAGCAUCCUCCGCGUGCAGGGGACGGCAUCCACUCACAAGAACUCAAACUCCACCUACAGCUUUCUGACCCAACCCCAGGCCGACGUGCUCAUGGUUUUCCACAUCCACUCUGAACCUCAAACACUCCAAGCGUAGUUCUUGUCCCCACUGGACAGCCAGCAACCUGCACCACCCAUGAGGUUUCAUCACAGUGCCUGAGGUCACCAGCCCUAAGUCUGCAAAGCAAGCCCUGAAAAAUCACCCAAGACACCUUCCUUUGCUGUGUCCGUUGGCGCCGUGGCUGGCUCUGCCCCCGGAGCAGAUGUGAGCCUCGUGAGCCUAGCCUAGCCGUGUCCUUCCAUGUUCUCGGCCCCCACCCUUGGCCAAGCCACUUUACUGCUCAUCAACGAUCUCCUAUGAAUGAUGUUUGUCUCUAUUUGCCCAACAACCCGUUCUUCAUUCAGCAAGCUGAAUAAUCUUGAAAACCUCACAUCCUGUCACAUCCUGCUUAAAACUGCUCAAAGGGCGAGUUCCCAUCGUGGCUCAGUGGAAAUGAAUCUGACUAGUAUCCAUGAGGAUGCAGGUUCCAUCCCUGGCCUCACUCAGUGGGUUAAGGAUCCAGCAGUGCCACAAGCUGUGGUGUAGGUCACAGAGGUGGCUCGGAUCUGGUAUUGCUGUGGCUGUGCCAUAGGCCAGCAGCUGGAGUUCCGAUUCGACAACUAACUACAGUUAUCUCUGGACAAGCAACCGUGGAGAGCAACAGCGAGAGCAAAAGCGAAAGCACGUGGCUGCGCCUCUAGGAGGUUGGUGCUUCCAUAAGGGAAGGAAGGAGUCACUGCUUUGGGGGCACUUUCUGUCGUCUUCUCAAGAUCUGGGUUGAUACGCAUGUCCUCUGCCUCCUCCUCAGGCCCCAAGGCACGGUUAGUGGGAUGGACUGGCAGGAGUCUCUCCCUAGUCCCAUGAAAAUAACCCUCAAGGAUGUCACGGUCCUGUUGCCACAAAAGAAACCAGACAGCUGCAAAGAAGAGAAACUGC
rnacentral:lncRNA from 1 species